rnacentral:rRNA from 1 species
GACGAACGCUGGCGGCGUGCCUAAUACAUGCAAGUUGAGCGCUGAAGGUUGGUACUUGUACCGACUGGAUGAGCAGCGAACGGGUGAGUAACGCGUGGGGAAUCUGCCUUUGAGCGGGGGACAACAUUUGGAAACGAAUGCUAAUACCGCAUAAAAACUUUAAACACAAGUUUUAAGUUUGAAAGAUGCAAUUGCAUCACUCAAAGAUGAUCCCGCGUUGUAUUAGCUAGUUGGCGAGGUAAAGGCUCACCAAGGCGAUGAUACAUAGCCGACCUGAGAGGGUGAUCGGCCACAUUGGGACUGGGACACGGCCCAAACUCCUACGGGAGGCAGCAGUAGGGAAUCUUCGGCAAUGGACGAAAGUCUGACCGAGCAACGCCGCGUGAGUGAAGAAGGUUUUCGGAUCGUAAAACUCUGUUGGUAGAGAAGAACGUUGGUGAGAGUGGAAAGCUCAUCAAGUGACGGUAACUACCCAGAAAGGGACGGCUAACUACGUG